AGCUGAAUCAAUUCCGCUCAGACUCGUGUGAGUUUCGACUGCGAGUGUGCGGAUUUGCUUCUGCCAA
rnacentral:pre_miRNA from 1 species